rnacentral:rRNA from 1 species
UACGAAGGGGGCUAGCGUUGCUCGGAAUCACUGGGCGUAAAGCGCACGUAGGCGGAUUGUUAAGUCAGGGGUGAAAUCCUGGAGCUCAACUCCAGAACUGCCUUUGAUACUGGCGAUCUUGAGUCCGGGAGAGGUGAGUGGAACUGCGAGUGUAGAGGUGAAAUUCGUAGAUAUUCGCAAGAACACCAGUGGCGAAGGCGCUCACUGGCCCGGUACUGACGCUGAGGCGCGAAAGCCAGGGGAGCAAAGCGGGG